CCUACGGGUGGCUGCAGUGGGGAAUAUUGGACAAUGGGGGCAACCCUGAUCCAGCCAUGCCGCGUGUGUGAAGAAGGCCCUCGGGUUGUAAAGCACUUUCAGUGAGGAAGAACGCCUGGUGGUUAAUACCCAUCAGGAAAGACAUCACUCACAGAAGAAGCACCGGCUAACUCCGUGCUAGCAGCCGCGGUAAUACGGAGGGUGCGAGCGUUAAUCGGAAUUACUGGGCGUAAAGCGCGCGUAGGUGGCUUGAUAAGCCGGUUGUGAAAGCCCCGGGCUCAACCUGGGAACGGCAUCCGGAACUGUCAAGCUAGAGUGCAGGAGAGGAAGGUAGAAUUCCCGGUGUAGCGGUGAAAUGCGUAGAGAUCGGGAGGAAUACCAGUGGCGAAGGCGGCCUUCUGGACUGACACUGACACUGAGGUGCGAAAGCGUGGGUAGCAAACAGGAUUAGAUACCCGAGUAGUC
rnacentral:rRNA from 1 species